GAUGAACGCUAGCUACAGGCUUAACACAUGCAAGUCGCGGGGCAGCAUGGGGGUUGCUUGCAACCCCUGAUGGCGACCGGCGCACGGGUGAGUAACGCGUAUCCAACCUGCCCUUCACCACGGGAUAACCCGGCGAAAGUCGGACUAAUACCGUAUGUUGUCCAUUGACGGCAUCCGAUUCGGACGAAAGGCUUGGCGGUGGAAGGAUGGGGAUGCGUCCGAUUAGCUUGACGGCGGGGUAACGGCCCACCGUGGCUACGAUCGGUAGGGGUUCUGAGAGGAAGGUCCCCCACACUGGAACUGAGACACGGUCCAGACUCCUACGGGAGGCAGCAGUGAGGAAUAUUGGUCAAUGGGCGUAAGCCUGAACCAGCCAAGUAGCGUGCAGGAUGACGGCCCUAUGGGUUGUAAACUGCUUUUAUGCGGGGAUAAAGUGGCCCACGUGUGGGCUUUUGCAGGUACCGCAUGAAUAAGGACCGGCUAAUUCCGUG
rnacentral:rRNA from 1 species